rnacentral:misc_RNA from 1 species
UUUCCGUAGGUGAACCUGCGGAGGGAUCAUUAAUGAGUUGUCAUGGGGUUCGAUGCUGGCAGCCAAUUUUUGGAUGCAUGUGCUUGCCCUAACAAUCAUCUUCCAAACACCUGUGCACAUUUUUGAGGGAUUCUUGAGUUGGUUGCCGCUCUUGGGUGAUUUUCUCACAUUCCCUUAAAUCAUUAUACGCUAUUAACAAUGUUGAACGUGCUCUGUGCCGCAAGGCUAUUAAUAUAAUACAACUUUUAACAACGGAUCUCUUGGCUCUC